UACGUAGGUGGCGAGCGUUGUCCGGAUUUACUGGCGUAAAGAGCGCGCAGGCGGUCGUCCAAGUCGCGUGUGAAAGCCCCCGGCUCAACUGGGGAGGGUCACGCGAUACUGAUCGACUCGAAGGCAGGAGAGGGAAGCGGAAUUCCCGGUGUAGUGGUGAAAUGCGUAGAUAUCGGGAGGAACACCAGUGGCGAAGGCGGCAUUCUGGACUGCAACUGACACUGAUGAACGAAAGCCAGGGGAGCAAACGGG
rnacentral:rRNA from 1 species